AACCGUUUUUCUUUAUUCUACUUAGUGGGGCACCCAGAAACUUCCCUGGGGGAAAUGCUUGUUCAAAUAGAGAACACGCAGAAGAUGCACUUCACCGGCCUCCUCUGGCUGCUGAGCCCGUACUCUCUCUUUGGCUCAGGCUAGGCCUCUUCUUCUCCUUGGACUUAACGUGGCUUAGGUCCCUGAGUCGGCCAAGACCUCCCAGAGGAGACCUGCCCAGCUGCCACCACCACCAUUAUUGAUUGGCUUCCCGGUACUGGUGCAGCAGGUCACUGACAUCUGUACUUUCUACUUUCACCCAACCAUCUUCCUUCAUGUGGUACACUGUGGACAAAUGAGAAAAGAACAUGGAGUCACCUUUCACCUCAGCAAGUUCCUGUCACUGAUGUUAUGUUGAAGGCAGCAACAAGACACAUGCGCAAGCUUAAAACCAUAUGACUGGGCCUUUAAUGCCCUUCUUCUGACUCUGAAAAUUUCCUCCCUACUACUCUCCCUCCUUUGAGUCUCUCAAUCAUUUUCUUUUUUUUCUUUUGAGAAGGAGUCUCACUCUGUGGCCCAGACUGGAAUGCAGUGGCGCCAUCUUGGCUCACUGCAAGCUCCACCUCCCAGGUUCAAGUGAUUCUCCUGCCUCAGCCUCCCAAGUAGCUGGGACUACAGGCACCCGUCACCACGUCCGGCUAAUUUUUGUAGUUUUAGUAGAGACGGGGUUUCGCCAUGUUGGCCAGGCUGGUUUCUCAAUCUUAAAUCACCCCCCCCACCACCCGCCGACUCCUCCCAGGCAUGGUGGUGGGAGCAUUGGUCUCUUACUAUUGACAACGCCUCCAGAAUAGCUGUCUCUGUGAGUGGCAUAAGCAAUAGCCCUGCGGCCAAGGUCAUAGGCCUCUUCAGGGCUAAGAUUAGGCCGAUAGCCACUGUCCAUGACCCCGUAGGCAUAAGUGUUCCCACUACCCGUGGAGAACAUAUUUCCUGAGAGCCGAGUCCCAUGUUCAUCCACGUAGUAGAGUCCAGGACCCUAUAAGAUGAAAGAUUUCAGGCUGAAAUUGGAGAGGAAGAUGUUGGUAACAUGGGGGUUCAAAUAUGAGACAUAAAAAGUGAACAAAAGAAUUAAUAUUACCACAAGAACAUUGGAAUUAGGAAACCACUUUGGUAAAGUCAUCGAACUUUAGAAAUGAAAAAGGAAAAACAAACUUGAAAUCAACUGUUUAACAAAAGGGACAAGCUUACAAAACACAUGCAAUGAUUCAUAUCUGGGCCAAUAAAUAGUCCAUGGAUAUACUGAAACAGUUCUAUAACCAAGCACUCUAUAUGCCAUGCAUCUUGUCAGGGAGGGAGUAGGAGUAUAUGAUGGGAAACAGAUCUGUCAUCCAUAGGGAACAUGGUGGGGGAACAUGAAGAAUGGAGAGCACCCACCUUCUUAUCCCAGCCACAGAUCAUACUGCCCAUAGAGAGGCCCAUGCCCCGGUACUGGCACAUCAUGUUGGACAGCAGCUUGGAGGCUGCCGACACUGAAAUACGUUCUCCAUUUCGCAGAUAGUACAGCCUGGGUGAGGACAAGGUGGAGUGAGGAAAGAGAGGUUAGCUCUUUCCAACUUGAUGGGGCAGGAAAUGAUUAAAGAGAUAAGCAUUGGAAAGGAAUUAUUUUGUAGGAUCUAAAGAUCAGAGAAAGAUUUGGAAUUUAAAGUAUCUGAAACAUACAAAGGCAGCCUAGUAAAUGAUACUGUCCCGCCAGGGUGGAUGUGUCAGUGCUAAAUACCUGACGUACUAUCUGGCUUAUGAGUGGAGCACAGGCUGAGAUUUGGGAGAAGGGUCUUAUCACCAAAAAGCUGUUUUGUGAAAUAUACUAUUAGCACUAAGAUGGACCACAUAGGACAAGAGUAAGGAGCAAUGAUCUGAGAGAUCCAGGGAUUAACCACUAGGCUAAGAAAGGAAGAUGAGAGGCCUCGCUUACCUGCAUUCCUUGGCCAGCAGGCGCUCCCAGUACUGACAGUCUGCUGCACAGCCAGACAUGGUGCCAAGCAGGUAAGGGUUAAUCUCAAUCACCUUGUUCACCCGUAAGGCACCUGGAAGAAGAUGGAGCUUUGGGAGAGAAGGGAUGACCCCAUAGAUCCCCCAGUGUGUCCUAAAUCAAUAUCCACUUCCACUUUGUUGCAGAGUUGGCCUCCUGUGGAAAGGAGAGCCCAGCUCCCCAGAUUCUGCCUGCUGGAGCGUAUACACUCACUAAUGUAGGACCCAGCUGAGGCCCGAGAAUCCACUGCUGCAAUCACUCCAUGCUGGAACUUGAAGGCGAGCGUGGUGGUGCCAUGGGCCAUCUCAAUCUGAACGUUCCUUUCUCCGUCCCCACCCAGGGACUGGAAGAAUUCUGUGGGCUGAUAAGAGAAAAGAGGUUGAGAAAGGCAAUGAAAAAUUCUGUAGUAAGAGGCUCCAGGAAAAGGUUUUAGGGAGUAUGAGGGUGAGGAGAUAUGCAGAAAUGAUCUAACCAUCAAUAAAUGAAACAGUUAAUAACCAAUCUCUAGAAGGAAAUGGCUUGGGAGAAGGAAAAGAAGAGGCAUGCCAGUAUCAACCUUUUCCAUUUUCCAGCACAACAGAAAUGAAAGCAAGCACAUGUUACCAUUACUAAAAAAUUUUGAGAGUGACUUAAAGGGUUUCUUCCAUGCAUAAAGCAUUCAACCCUCACAAAACACGUUUAGUAACAGUAUCCUCACUUUACAGAAGAGGGGCUUGGGACCUAGACUAAGUGACUUGUUCUAAGUCGCGCAACAGUGAGUUGCUGAGAGGAGGCCAGCAGGCAAAUUUCAUAGGUUUCCCAAGACACCACACACCUCCUAUAUCAUGUGAUAACCCCAUGAAAAAGGCUCCACCAUUUGUGUGUGGACAAGGGCAGGAAAGUUCUCUUGUCUUCCUUUGGGAGCCCCCACCUCACCUGUAACUCUUUGUCCUAACUUGCACUUCCUCCUCUCAGGCCCCAUCCCCAUGUGGCCUCUUCUUUGGGUCUGGCGCUCUCCGGGACUGAAGGCUACCCCCGACCCUGUACCCCGCGCUCCCGCUCUCGCCUCCUCCUCUCAGGCGACCCUCCACUCCUCAGCGCCCGCCUCCCUGCAUCCCUAGGGGCUUCCCUACUGCCCCGACCUGCAUUCCCCGGGGUAAAGCGAGCUCUGGAGAUCGCAUAGAGAAACUGUAGUGUCCUGGGUCCGAGCGACGCCCGCUUCCCGCAACCGGGAGAGCCGAUUCCGGCCGCUGCCCUCGGGGGGCUCCGCAUACAUCUAGUAGCGCCAUGACCGCCCAGCACCCAGAGAUCUGUCCGCUCUCGGAGGAGGAAGUGAAAGCGAAAGCCACAGAUCGAAGGGGAGGGAACAAGACUCUUUUCCACAUCCCCCUGCCUUUUCCGAGAAAAGGACAGUUAGUGCCUGGACCAGGACCAUCACACUGGGGACCGGCUUCUCUGCUCUCCCGUUAUGGGGGUCGGGGGAAUGAUGGGUCAAGGGUCUUCCGAAGAAAGCGAGAAAGGAACAGGCGCCUUCAAAAGCCCACUUGGCGAUGGGUUACAGUAAGAGCGUUGCUCCCUGCUUGGCUGAGCACUGCGGAGUUUCACGCCUCUAAACCCCGCCUCUUCUUGCAACCUGUGUUGGCCUCAUCUACCCAGCAACUGUCGACGUCACACGACCUGGGCCUCCCUGAAUGGGAGAUAUUUACUAGGCAAUCCCGCCUACUGUUCUGAGGUUUCCCCUCCAGGUGCAGCUUCAGAGCCAGGCGAGCCAGGAAGGACCAGCGGGCGAGGUGGAAGUCUGCAUUAUCACGAGGAGCUUGGAAAGGAGGUAACACACUCAAGGCAAAUUUCAAGUAACUCAUCCUGGAGGCAGCUGCCUACUCUGCAGCUGUGGUUCUCCACCACAGAGAGAAGAAAAGGGAGGGAGAUGGAGUGCGCAGGUCUGAGAAGGCUUUCAUUCUGGAGCAUCUGCAGGAGCCUGCACCAUGGCCCAGUAGCACCCCUUUUUCUCCAUGAGCUGCUGGUGGGUUCCCCCCUCCCGGAUAGCGCCUCCUUCCAGAAAGAGGAUGUGGUCAGCCUGCUCCACCAGGCUGAGGUGCUGGGUGAUGAGAAGCACUGAGCGGGAGUACCGCUCAGGGCUUUCGUACAGGAGCUGCUCCACCUGAGGAAAGACAUCGGACCGUCAGAGCCGGGGACUACCCUCAGCCCAGGGAGACACCUGUGUUUCCAGGGCUGGGACUGACCUCACAGGAUCACUGCUGGCUCUGCUAACAACCCCAAGGACACCAACGUUUCCCAUUCUGAGUACUUCUCCGCAAACCCUUUGUUUCAUUAAGGACUGUUUUACAUGAAGGGUGCAAAAGUAGGAUAAAAAUGAGAACCCUAGGGUGAAACACGUGACAGAAGAAUAAAGACUAUUGAAUAGUCCUCUUCUCUACCCAUGGACUUGGCAUUUUUAUAUUCGAUUUUAAGGAAAUAUAACUUAGUAGUAAAGAGAUGAGCAUUCAAGUCAGGCAGACCUGAAUUUGGGUCAAGGCUGCGCCACUCAAAAGCUAUAUGACCUCUAUAUGAGCAGCUUAUUCAACCUCUUUUAACCUCCAUUUUGUCAUCUGUAGAAUGAUGAUAAAUGCCUAGCUCAGAAGGAUUCCUAAUGAAUAAAUGAGUGACAGUGCAUGUAAACAGACUAGCUUAAUUAAUAUUAAUAUGAUUAGGAUGGGCUGGGCCCGGUGGCUCAUGCCUAUAAUCCUAGCACUUUGGGAGGUCAAGGAGGGAGGAUCACUUGGGCCCAGGAGUUCAAGGCCAGCCUGGGCAACAUAGCGGGACGCUGUCUGUACAAAAAAUAAUUUUUUUAAAUAAACGAUAUUAUGAGGAUGGUCUUUUCCUUAUGUUUCGCUUUAGAAAUUCAGUCUAUAGGACUGGGCGCAGUGGCUCACACCUAUAACCCCAGCCCUUUGGGAGGCUGAGGGGGGCAGAUUACCUGAGCUCAGGAAUUCAAGGCCAGCCUGGGCAACAUGGUGAAACCCAUCUCUACUAAAAAUAUAAAAGUCAACCAGGCAUAGUGGUGUACACCUGUAGUCCCAGCUACUCGGGAGGCUGAGGGGAGAAUCGCUUGAGCCCAGCAGGUUGAAGCUGCAGUGAGCCAAGAUUGUGCCACUGCGCUCCAGCCUGGGCAACUGAGUGAGACACUGUCUUAAAAAAAAAAAAGGAAAGAAAGAAAGAAAUUCAGUCUGUAGUUUGUAGAUAGUCUCUUUUAACUGAUUCUAGGUGUCUUUGCCUCGUCUUCUAUCUCUACUCCUUGGGGAGGCAUCCAAUGGAACUGGAUUUGGGAACUGAGAACUGCAAGGACUGGUUUGUAUAAUUAUGAUGUUAGUAAAACUAACAGAAGAUGUAUAAAAGAAGCAAGAUUGGGUGGGAUAUAGCCAUUAAGAAGAUGACUGCCUCACCUGUAACUGGCUGUUUGCAUCCAGGGCACUGGUGGCAUCAUCCAGGAUAAGUACACACGGUUUCCGGAUCAAUGCUCGGGCCAACGCCACUGCCUGUCGCUGACCCCCUGACAGCUGGCUCCCAGCCUCGUCUACCUCUGCAGAGCAAAGGGCCAAGAUGAGAACGGUAUAGCCACAUGUGUGCACGCAUGUACAUGCACACAGACACACUCAUGCAUUCACGCACUCACACACACCAAGAUCUGACGGUUGUAGCUGGAUAGGGGAGAUUCUGGGAAGAUGAACAGAAUCCUGAGGAUGUCAGGAUGAAGAAGCCAUAGGAGCAUGAUCUUACAACUUCAAAUUGAUGUCCAUGAGUAAGGAGGAACUGAAGGAUAAAGGCAAGACUACUGGGGUUUCAGCAAAGGUAAAGAUGGCUGGGUGGUGAGAUGAGUGGAGAGAGUACCUGUGUCAUAGCCCUGAGGGAGUCCAGAGAUGAAACUAUGGGCCCCAGACUUUACUGCAGCAGCUGUGAUUUCCUCCAUAGUUGGCUUCUGGGUCAGGCCAUAGGCAAUAUUUUCUUGAAGACUUCUUCCAAAUACCUGUGGCUCUUGUCCCACUGCAGCCACCUGAGAUGAAAUAUGAUGAAGAGUCAUAGAACAAGGCACAUGGGAGUAUGGUUAUCUAGAGAUCGAAGACUCAAAAUCUUUAUUGAGAACAUGUCACAAAAUCAUACUACCUCCCUCCUGACUACACCACCAUCUCCACCCAAGGUCUCUUAUCAUUCCCUAACCCCUCUUUCAGAGUGCUCAGUAAGAAUGCUCUUCGUAUUUGAUGCUCCCUGCCCUCCUUCAAGCCACCUGCUUCCAUACCUGCCUGUGCAGGUAGCGGUGCUCAUAUUGGGGAAGGGGCUUCCCAUCCAACAGCAGCUGUCCCCCGGUGGGCUGGUACAGAUUCUGCAGCAGGGCAGCCACUGUGCUCUUCCCAGACCCAUUGGGUCCCACCAGCGCCGUCACCUCGCCAGGGCGUAGGGUGAAUGUCAGCCCCUAGAGGCCAGAGAAGCACACGAUAAGAGGCUACCAAGGCCUCUAACCUUGAGAGUGUCAUUGCCUUGUUACAUAGCAUGAUGUCUUACCCCAGAAGAAAAACAGGGAAAUAUAGAAACUCCUACCCUCCCACAUGCACAGAUUUCUGGGUGAUGCCUCCCCAAGGAGUAGAGAUAGAAGAAGCGGCAAAGACAAGGGCAGAGACCCAGCACCACUAUGCCACACACUUGAUGUCAGAUACCACCAGGAAAGGGAAAAAUCACAUUCCAAAUUACAAAGGAAAAGGAAAGAUGGAAGACCGAAGACACAGAUUUUGCUGCAGCAAUUCCUUGGAACGUGAGAGCACUCUCUUCGAAACCUCUUCUCUCAUUCUCUUUGGAAGCCCAAACUGGGUUCUUGAGUUUGGGGAAGAUUUAUGGAACAGAUGAUGCCUACCAUUGCCUUUAAAGGGUUAGGGAGGAUAUAUGCUUGGCAGUAAGCAGGCUGAAGGCAGGAAGAAAAUUUAGGAUGGCAGAAUUGCAGUUGGGGCCAGUGGAAUACAGGGAGUGGUAGGUUGUACCUGUAGCACUAAGACAUCUGGGCGGUUUGGGUAGGCAAAGGAGACAUCUUGGAACUGGACAAGGCCCUCCAAGUGUAAGGGAGUCAACAGACCACUGGGUGGGCAGCGAGGGGUGCGGUCCAGGUACUCAAAUAUUUUCUCUGAGGAGCCCACAGCCUUCUGUACUCUGGGGUAGAUGGAGAGCAGUACCUAGAGGGAGGUAAGAAUAGUGAAAGUGAGGUAGUCUGCUUGCCAGCAUUAUGUGAAGCAAGAAGGGUAAAGAAUGGAAGGACAUCACACAGAUGGUGCUGGGCCAGAGGAAGGAAUCACACUGGGGAGUGAAGGUGGAGGGACCUCACCUCCACAGCCUGGGUGAACUGCAUCUGGUAGAGAACAAAUGUGACAAGGUUCCCACUGCUUACAGCCCCACUGGUCACCAGCUGCCCACCAAUGUAGAGGAUUCCCACUUUCAGCAGCAUACCUGAAAUCUAUAAAGAGACCACAAAAAAAGGGACUGAGGUAGAGAAAUCUGGAGGGGACACAAAGAACCGCAGUCAUUAACCUGAAGGAAAUAUCAAGUCCCUGUCUCCUAAGUGACAUCGGCAGGCUCAAUAGGCAGACAGGAGAAUGAACCAGAGACCCCAUGGAGUCUGACUCAAUGCACAUCAUGCAAGUCACAGUUAUCUUCACCACCAUCACCACUAUCACCUUGUCUGGGGAGCAUUUUACUCUUCACAAAAGGCUUUCAUUCAUGUGAUGUCAGCUAAUACAUGAAGAGCCUUAUAAAGAAGGUUAUAUCACUCCAUUUUUGAAAAAUGAGGAAACAACCAGUCGGGCGCAGUGGCUCAUGCCUGCAAUUCCAGCACUUUGGGAGGCCGAAGUGGGCGGAUCACAAGGUCAGGAGAUUGAGACCAUCCUGGCUAACACGGAGAAACCUCGUCUCUACUAAAAAUACAAAAAAAAAAAAAAAAUUAGCCGGGCGUGGUGGCGGGUGCCUGUAGUCCCAGCUACUCAGGAGGCUGAGGCGGGAGAACGGCGUGAACCCGGGAGGCGGAGCUUGCAGUGAGCCCAGAUCGCGCCACUGCACUCCAGCCUGGGCGACAAAGCGAGACUCCAGCUCAAAAAUAAUAAUAAUAAGUAAAAAUAAACAAACAAACAAACAAAUAAAUAAAUAAAGAGGAAACAGUCUCAGAGAAGGUAAAUUUGUUGUCAUGAUCACAAGACAAGUAAAUUGCAUCAUCAAGCCAGGAUCUUCGGAUCACUGGCGUAGCUCUCUUUCCAGUGCAUCACAGAUGUCCCUCAUCCCUGGCUUCCACUAUUCCCAUCACUCUCACUAACAAAUCUACAAGGUACCAGCAUGAAGCAGUCCCAGGUGCAAGAAUUUAUGGCGCCCUGCACUUCCCCUGAGAGGCAAAGGAAGGCCCUAGGACUGGAAGACACGCAUCUCUCCAAUCCACAUGGUUGGGUGGAUUUUAUGUACCAUACUGAAAGGAAGCCACCUAGCAUCUUUAAAGAGAGGGAGGGGGCUAGGGACACUGAGUAGAGUCAUUGAGCCUCAGGUUGCUAGGACGAAAAUACUGAACCAACCAUUUCCCAGUAAAGGAGGAGUGGGAGCAGGGUCAUAGGAAUGGGAAUGGAGUCACGGCAUCUUAAGGACAAGGGAAUGGGUAUUCAUCUUCAGGUGCUCACACUAGUGGUCCAGGAGUUGACUGCAUAGGCCACAGCCUCCUUCUGGUUGAGUGUCUUUAUUUCUUGCAGCUUUUCCCUAAACUUCUGGGCUUCGCCCUCCUCGUUGGCAAAGCUUCGAACUGUAGGCAUGGCCGACAGAGCCUCAAUGGCCACCUGGCUGGACUUUGCCAGAGAUUCCCGCACCUGCACUUCCAGCAACUGUGGAUACAUGGACAAGAGAUGUCACACGGGUUGGCAAACCAUCAGGGACACUAAUACCUGAGUUACCUAUUUGGAAAUUAAAGGUGAGAAGAGACAGAGGAAAAGGAGAAAAGAGAAAGAGACACAGCUAUGCCCCUUGGAUGCUAAAGAAAUACGAGGAAGAGGAAAAUGACUCAGAACGGGUUGGGGAUCAAAUUCUUAAAGACAGAUUGUGGGGAGAAGCUAGAAAAGAAGACCCAGAGAGUAUGGAGGUUAAUGUUGAGCAACCUGGGAACAUGGACCACAGGGACAGGGUGUUCCAUGAAGAUGGAGAAUCAGUAAGGGUGCCAGGAAAGCUGGACUGAAAGCAAUGUGAGAGGAACUGAGUCUGCCAAGUCUGGGAGAUGAGGGUCUGUGUAGAGCGGGCCAACUCCAUGAACAUACCUGGUACCAUUUUCCCACCUUCUUGGGCAGAAGGAAAAGCAGAGGCAGGGUGAUCAGGGUGACCAUGGUGAGGGACACUGAUCCCCAGAGCAUGAUCCCCAAGAGACAUAGGCCUCGCACCAGGUACCACAGAAAUAAGCUCAGAUUCUCACUCAGAGAAUCACUCAGGGUGGACGUGUCCUCUGUUACCCGAGACAUGAUGUUACCUGCAGGGUUGGGGAGAAGAGAGUGAGGUGAAUCAGACAGGUUCCAAGUGAUGAGACGAACUAACAAUGAGCCAGGAUGCCAGGGUCAGGGGUGUCAACAUGGGGUUCUAAGGAGGCUGCAGGAAACAAGGUUAGGGUUCUCCAGAGGUCUGCAAAUCUCAGUGCAGGGAAGAUGAGUGUUAAAGAGGAAAGGCCUGACCUUCAUUUUAAUUAUAAAGUCAUUAAUGCACAUGUGAAUUUCCAUUUUCCUGAAAGCUUUCUGUUCCCUAGAGAACCUGUAUGUCCCAUGCUAUACACACAGGCAGGAAGAGCUUAAACUGGUCACAUAACAGAGAUGGAGGAGGAGGGUGCUGCUAGGAAGCAUGCCAAAGUCUGUGGAGCACUCACUGGGACUAGGGUUCUAACCCCAGGUCUAUCUCUAGCCAUAUGUAACUGUACAGCUUCUAGUGCUGCUAGAAAGCAUGCCGAAGUCUGUGGAGCACUCAAGAGACCAGGGUUCUAACCCCAAGUGUGUCUCUAGCCAUAUGUAACUGUGCAGUUUCAGCAUUUAGGGUCUUGGCCUCAGUUUCCUUCUCUGUCAGAUGAGGCAGUUGGUCUCUAUGAGCUCAAAAUUUCCAGGUUUGAAAUUCUAUGGUUUCUAUCUAAGGAUACAUAGGAAUAGAUUUAUAAGAAAAUGCUAGAUGAAAACUCUAG
rnacentral:lncRNA from 1 species